AUACUUACCUGGCAGGGGAGACACCAUGAUCAAGCAGGUGGUUUUCCCAGGGCGAGGCUCACCAAUUGCACUUGGGGUGUGUUGACCCCUGUGAUUUCCCCAAAUGCGAGAGAAACUUGACUAAUAAAGUUAUAAAAAAUAAAAAUUCAAUUUGUUUUCUA